CCACAAUUGCAUGUUUGAAUUCAAAUUUUGAAUCACAAAAGGCUUUAAGAGAUUUUGUUUACAUCCCCGUAACCUUUGGAUUUUCAAACCAAUAGGGUUGAUGUAUAAAAAGGGUUUAAUGCAUAUAUAAGCUAUCCCACAAUUUUUGGAUAAUUAUUUGGAGUUGAAAAAGUAUUUUAUUUUAAAUAGAUAUAUGGCCCUAAAAGCAUUUAUAGGGCAAAUGUAUUUUUUUCAUAUUUUAUUUUGAAGAGAAACUACUUCCAAAAGUUGUAUCUUGGUAGAACAUGAUUUUACAAAUUUUCUGAAAUUUGUUUGGACCAAUUUAGAGUUCAAACACAAAAGAUAUCAAAGAAAUGAGAAAAACAGAAAAAGAAAAGGCCUAAAAGAAAAAAAAAAGGGGGGGUAAACGGACCGGCCCGGCCGAAUUGGGCCGAACCGGCCCAACUCCCCUGCGCGCGCCACAGCCCAGCUGGCCCAGCCGCCCACUCGCGCGCGCCCGAGCCACCGACAGGUGGGACCCACUUGUCGGGGUCGUCCCCUACCUCGGGCAAGCGCCCGAGAUCGCGCCGCCGUCCCCGCGCGUGACCGCCGCGCGCCAUCACCGGGAUCCGCUCCUCCGGCCUUCUAUUUUCAUGCCCGAGCACGCCUUUAUAAUCCCCGCGACCCCCUCUCUCUUUCCCCCUUGUUUCCCCAUCCAAUCGCGCCGCCAGGCUGCCCCGAUUUCUCGCCGGAGUCCGACCGCGCCGCCCGCCCGUCUUCGACCACGGCGCCGACCCCGACCGUCCCCGACCGCGCCCCCGUCUCCGCCGUGCCGCGCCGCGUCUCCCCGUGAACUCCCCGCGUCGC
rnacentral:lncRNA from 1 species